UUUGACAAACUUCCUUGUCAAAGCCUGAUCUUGUCACAUCUCAGGGGGCUAAGCAGGGCUGGGCCUGGUUAGUACUUGGAUGGGAGACUGCUGGGAAUACCAAAUACACAAAC
rnacentral:rRNA from 1 species